UUAUUAUUAUUAUAUGCAUGUAACACAUGAUAAUUUUUUGUCACCGACUAUAAAAGAAAAAAGUUAGUUACGUAAACGCAACAUCCGAGAUUGUUUUGUGUAUCUAUAAUUUAAAAUAAAACAGAAUAAUGGCAAAAUACAGAAUUGUUAUGGUCCGUCACGGGGAAAGUGAAUGGAACCAAUUAAAUUUAUUUUGUGGUUGGUUUGAUGCAGGAUUAUCCGAGAAAGGUAAAAAUGAAGCUAUUGCUGCUGGAAAAGCGCUCAAAGAUUCAGGCUAUCGAUUUGAUGAAGCACAUACCUCCGUGUUAACACGAGCGCAAGUUACUCUUGGAACAAUUUUGAAAGAAAUCGGCCAAGAAAAUAUUCCUAUUUUUAAAACUUGGCGUUUAAAUGAACGUCAUUAUGGUGGUCUUACUGGUAUGAACAAAGCUGAGACUGCUGCUAAAUAUGGUGAAGAACAAGUCCAGAUUUGGAGAAGAUCGUUUGAUACUCCUCCACCACCCAUGGAAGCUGAUCAUAAAUACUAUGAUAACAUUGUAAAAGAUGAGCGCUACAAAGAUGGUCCUAAACCUGAUGAAUUUCCUAAAUUUGAAUCUCUUGAAUUGACUAUCAAGCGAACUCUGCCAUACUGGAAUGAUGUUAUUAUUCCUCAUUUAAAAGAGGGAAAGAAAAUUAUCAUUGCUGCUCAUGGAAAUAGUUUGAGAGGAAUUGUCAAACAUCUCGACCAAUUGAGUAAUGACCAAAUAAUGAGUUUGAAUUUACCAACGGGAAUACCAUUUGUUUAUGAAUUGGAUGAAAAUUUCAAACCGGUCGUCUCAAUGAAAUUCUUAGGAGAUGAAGAAACAGUUAAAGCUGCUAUGGCUGCUGUUGCAGCCCAAGGAAAGGCUAAAUAAAAAUAAAAAUAUAAUAUAAAUUUUCUUCAAUAUUAUUAAGAGCAAUCAUAAAAAAAAAUCUGAUCAAAGGAGUUCAAUAAAUACUCAAUCUAUUUAUUAAUAUUGUUGAAAAAUCAUCCAUGCAUGCAAAAAUAAAAAAGACUAAAGAUAAGGAA
rnacentral:misc_RNA from 1 species